CCAUGAGUCCUUGAGGAAGAUCACCAUAAUUUGGGGCAGCUCUGAUCACUUCUUCCUUCUAAGACCAAGCCAAACAAAUCCAAGUCUUCUUCCAUUUCACAUCUUUCCAAAUACUAGAAGAUAGCUCUCAUAGGGACUUUGCCUUCUUUUCUCUAAGCUCAACAUAGUCAAUACCACAAGCUGAUAUUCCCUUUGAGCUAUCUGAGCUCUCCUUCCCAUCUGUGUUCAUCUAUACUUAACACCUUCCAGCUUGCCCACUGUCUUCCUAGGAUUGGGUGUCCAGAACAGAAUAUACUAUUCAUUUCCUUGAAAAUAAAUCACAAACCUUUUUACAGAUGUAACUUAAAAAUAACCCUUCUAUCCGCCUUGCCCAAUGCAUUGUCUGCUUUAAAAUAGGGAUUAAAAAAAAAACUGUCUGUGGAGGAAAAAUUAUGAUGUUUCACUGAGAUAAUUUCAAGGACCGAAAAGCAGAAAAAGGUGCAAUCAAUCCACAAGCAUUUGUUAUAUUGUGUUAAAGGCAUUGGCUGGAUACCAGGAAUACAAAUACAAGAAGAACAAUCCACACUCACCAGGAGCUCACAAUCUAAUGAAGAAGACCAUUCUAUGGGGCAAUCAUUCGAUGGUGUUUGGAGUGCUCAGUCUCUAAGAGAAAAAUCUCAGAGAAGGUUAAAAAGGUUUUCAAGUACCUGAAGAGCUGUCAUGUGCAAGAAGGAUCUGAUUUCAUUCUAUUGGGCUUCAGGAUUGGGACAGAACCAGGCACGAUGAGAAUGGAGUAAUAAGCAGCAAAUAUUCAGAGGAUACUGAUGAGUUGCCUCAGUCCUAAUCCCAGACAGCUGUCUCAAAAGCUAAUGGCCCCAAAGGAGACUAGGAAAGAGGAUAUGAAUGAUGCAUUGCCAAUCCAUCAU